CAUUCGGUGACCAACUUGGUAAGGCGAUCAGCUGAAAACCGAGAGGUCAUGAGUUCAAAUCACUCUCGUAUUC
rnacentral:tRNA from 1 species